rnacentral:lncRNA from 1 species
UUUUUGCCUGAGCAUUCGUGGUGUGAAGCCUGCUGUUGGUGGCAGCAGUGCUUCCACAACUGAAGAGUGUGAGCUCUGCUGGGCAGCAGUGAUUGCUUCCCAGCACACCGGCCAAAUGCUCCCUCUUUCCUCACUCCCACAGUGAGCCAGAAAACAGCCCCAAGCCUGGAAGGAAGAAAUGAAGAUGAUUAUGCUGGCAAAUAUUCCAAGAGCAGACCUAGCCUGGGAUGAAGUGACAAUAAAACCUCACUGCAGGGGAAGACAGCUCCAACAGGUGAUGAAAAGGCUGUGA